AGCGAACGCUGGCGGCAGGCUUAACACAUGCAAGUCGAGCGGGCCUUCCGGGGUCAGCGGCGGACGGGUGAGUAACGCGUGGGAACGUGCCCUCUGGCUCGGAAUACCUCAGGGAAACUUGAGCUAAUACCGGAUACGCUCUUUCUGGGUAGGGCUGGCUGCCGCAGGAUCGGCGCGCGUCUGAUUAGCUGGUUGGUGAGGUAACGGCACGCCAAGGCGACGUUCAGUAGCUGGUCGGGGAGGAGGCCCAACUAGACUUGGGCUGCGGCACGGCCCAGUCUGGUACGGAGCGGAGGAGAAGAGUGUAUUGGGGGAGGGAGGCAGGCGUGAUCCCGCCAUGCCGGGGGAGUCGUGAAGGCCGUAGUGAUGUAAAGCCCGUUUAGCCGGAGCGAUAGUGACGGUACCGGAGGAAUAAGCCCCGGCUAACUUCGUG
rnacentral:rRNA from 1 species